rnacentral:lncRNA from 1 species
CCGGGAGUUACACACCAACGAAUUUCUAAAGAAAGCCUAACAAAAAGGCAAAUAAAGCAAGAGGAUUCUCACAGACUCACUGCUGCAGGGCUUUAAAAUCUCAGCCUCAUCUAUUGAACACUAGCCCAGCUUCCCUCAACCCCUCAAAGCAGCAAGAUUUAUGCAAGCCUCCUGUGACAGCAGAGCUUCUGUCCCAUCAGUAGCCUUAUCAAAUCUGUCCUAUAGCCCCAUCAGACCUGAGCGAACACCUGCUUUCCAGGUGCAAGACCAUAGAGGCUGAGAAGGAAGAGAAGUCAGCAACAGAAAUAACCUCACUAACAGCAAGACCCCCAGAGAAGCUAAAAACAUUCCAGGCAGGGCUCACAACAGCUCUCAGAGCAGAAUUCCCAAGGCAUCACUUAUGGUUUCUACAAGAGCUUUUGCCUUGCUGUUCCUUCCCCUACAUGCGACCUUUCAGCCCCAGUGAGUCCAGAGGCUUUCUGCAGAGAGAACUGAGUCAGACUGUGAAGAAGAGGCUUUGGGCAGCUAAGAGUUCCAUGUGGAACUCCACUUUGUGAAGACAAGCUUAGUUAAAACAAGAUGAUGCAUUUGUGGAGUCACUUAACUGGGCACACAAAAACUGCAAAUGUCUCAGCAGCUCCAAAGCAGAGGAAGGAUGAAGGGUGGCUGCCAACCCCACUGCUUUGUGGAAGUUCCACACCUUGCUGAGGACACCUCAUGCCUCUCAUAGGAUCCUGACCUGCUGACGUACAGACAGAAUAUGUGAGAAAUACAGGAAUGAUAUAUCCCAGAUCAAACUGCUUCUUAAGCUCGUGUUAUGGAAGAAAAAGACAUAUGCAACAUAAUGGCAGCUCACUGCAGCUGAAGUAAUAUAAACAUCUCUGGAAGAUGGAUAUUUAAG